rnacentral:rRNA from 1 species
UAACAAGGAUUCCCCUAGUAACUGCGAGUGAAGCGGGAAAAGCUCAAAUUUAAAAUCUGGCAGCUUUGGCUGUCCGAGUUGUAGUCUGGAGAAGCGUUUUCUGUGCCGGACCGUGUACAAGUCUCUUGGAACAGAGCGUCAUAGAGGGUGAGAAUCCCGUCUUUGACACGGACUGCCGGUGCUUUGUGAUGCGCUCUCAAAGAGUCGAGUUGUUUGGGAAUGCAGCUCAAAAUGGGUGGUAAAUUCCAUCUAAAGCUAAAUAUUGGCGAGAGACCGAUAGCGAACAAGUACCGUGAGGGAAAGAUGAAAAGCACUUUGGAAAGAGAGUUAAACAGUACGUGAAAUUGCUGAAAGGGAAACGCUUGAAGUCAGUCGCGUCGUCCGGAACUCAGCCUGGCUUUUGCCUGGUGUACUUUCUGGUUGAUGGGCCAGCAUCAAUUUUGAUCGUUGGAUAAAGGCCUCAGGAAUGUGGCACCUUCGGGUGUGUUAUAGCCUGGGGUCGCAUACAACGGUUGGGAUUGAGGAUCUCAGCACGCCUUUAUGGUCGGGGUUCGCCCACGUACGUGCUUAGGAUGCUGGCGUAAUGGCUUUAAACGAC